AUGCUGCUUUCACUUGGACCACACAGCCUUCUGGAAGCUUUUGCUGUCACUCGGGCGGAUCUGAGCAAUCGAACACAGGUGGGAGAUGGCUGGUGGAAGCAGAGGCUCAGGCUGCACUGUGAAAUGCCACGAGCAGAUCAGCUAGCAGUGCUUUUCCAUCUGUCUGUCUGUCCCAUCUGUGCUGAGCAUCUCAAACAAGGUUGCUGUGAGUCAUUAGAUUGCCCUUGGUCAGCAAAGAUAGUUGCUGGUAGAGAUACACUGCUUUUUUCUUCAGGGCUGCUCUGUACCGAGUUCCCCUCAGUUCAGUAAGACAGACUUCUUUACCUUUCCAAGGACAGAAAGGGCAGCUCCAUUGGUCUUAAUUCUCACUUAACUGAGGAUUGGCCAUCAGGAUAAUACUCCACAGACUGCCAGGUAGAGGAAACACACUUUUGAUCUGCUAGAUAUCCUGGACACCUGCUGAAGCCCAUGGAUAAACAGCCUAAGGUGUCACCAGCCCUCAGCUCUGUUUCCACAUGAGUGUGGAUUCAUUUUUCUUACCUCAUCCAAGCCACCGACUCAAAGGAAGCCAAAGAUGUCACAGAGAUGCUAUAAAGCCCAAUUUGAUUGAAAACUGCUAGCUGAAACACCAUGUCAGAAGCAACUCCUUGCCUACAAACAGCUUUGCCAAAAUGGGAUGCUGUGGUACACUGCUGGAAUGCUUCACUCCUCACAGGAGGGCCUUGCGACGUGCUCUGACUUUUGUCGUCUCUUGCUGUGACCGGGAGCACUAAGCAGAACUGGAAGUACCAGGAAGGCAGUGGAUGUGGUUCUGUAGAUCAGCGUGUUUUGGACUGGCUCCAAGUCACAAAUGCCUGUAACUGGAACAACGCUAUAAGUUUUAGGUGUCUGCUGACUAUUCUAGCUGACAUGGGAAAAAUUGAUGUGAAAGCUGACAAAGCAACGGUGUGCCAUUGAGGACAUGAACAUUUUGAAAAUCCAAUCUGUUAGAAAUCCCUACUGAUAGCCAUUGCAGUGGUGAGUUGCAUAAAGUAAAUAGCCAGCCAUAAAUAAAAUGAUUAGGCUUUGUUUGCCA
rnacentral:lncRNA from 1 species